rnacentral:rRNA from 1 species
GAUGAACGCUAGCGGGAGGCCUAACACAUGCAAGCCGAGCGGGAUUUGAGACUAGCUUGCUAGUCUUAAUGAGAGCGGCGUACGGGUGCGGAACACGUGUGCAACCUGCCUUUAUCUGGGAGAUAGCCUUUCGAAAGGAAGAUUAAUAUCCCAUAAUAUAAUGAUUGGCAUCAAUUAUUAUUGAAAGCUCCGGCGGAUAGCGAAGGGCACGAGCAAGAUUAGAUAGUUGGUGAGGUAACGGCUCACCAAGUCGAUGAUCUUUAGGGGGCCUGAGAGGGUGAUCCCCCACACUGGUACUGAGACACGGACCAGACUCCUACGGGAGGCAGCAGUGAGGAAUAUUGGACAAUGGGUGAAAGCCUGAUCCAGCCAUCCCGCGUGAAGGAUUAAGGACCUAUGGUUUGUAAACUUCUUUUCUACAGGGAUAAACCUACUCUCGUGAGAGUAGCUGAAGGUACUGUAGGAAUAAGCACCGGCUAACUCCGUGCCAGCCGCCGCCGUAAUAC